CUAACUAAGGACUGUGUAAAAUAAACAAAUGCUAAAUGUGUAAAAUUAUGUAUAUUGAAUUGUAAUAAAUUGUCACAACAAUGAAUUGCCUUGCGCCUACCUUACACAGUUGCCGUAUUUUAGCCCUAACCUAAGACUUAAACUAUCUUAAUUACACAACUUAACGGUAAAUCACAAUUUAUAUCGAGAUAUUUAUUAUGUCUAAGUAACAAUGGCCGAUUGUUACCACGUUACCCCCCCACAUCGGACUUACAACUAGUAAUAAUAAAAUUUAUAGCAAGAAAUUGAAUCACUAGCUAACCUUAUAUUUAAAUAUAGUAUUUCAGCUCGCAUUGAGUAAAGACUGCCACAUGAAAGAUUUUAAUAAUGUCCUGGUAAAUGGGGAGAANAGGGAGAAGUAGAAUGAAGUAUCAUCUUUCAAAAUGCUUAAUAUUUGUAUUUUUGUAAUUUUAGAUAGGAUAACUCCGGCCAUGUAGGUUAUAUAAUGUUAAUUUUGUUAACUUCAGGAAGGCUAAAGUUAGCGAAAUAAUUUAGCGAAGUCUUCAGGCGUAUUUUUCAGUAGGUAAGUAUACUAGACUCGGUAAUGUUAGGUACCUAAGCUUUUCAUAAAUUGAGGAAUAAAAACACUGAACAAGAAACGGCAUUGUUCGAUCAAACAAAAAAAUUGUUACAAGCACCUUCCAAACAUUUACAAUGCAAAAUAAAAACUAUAAUUUAACUGAGCUGUUCCGGUUUUAAAUGUCUUAUCUUGACUUGAUUAAUAAGUAGGUAGGUAGUUAAUGAUGUUUAGUUU